CUAAAGGGCCUAUAGUGAUAUAACUGUUACUAUAGGUGUUCUUCUUCAAAUUCAGAACUUCAUAAUCGGUUCUCAAGUCAGCUAGUUUGGCCGGCUAUAACUUUCAAACAUCGGAAUCAUAAUUAAAUGAUUUAAACAUCAAACAAUUCUAUUAUCAUUAAUAAUUAAUUAAUAUUAAACUAUUAAUGAAACCAUUGCCAAAAUAUAAAAGUUAUUUAUAAUAACUCAAACUAUUUUUAAAACAUUUAUAUUACCCUUAAAUGAUUUUUAAAAUAAUUAAAAUCAUUUUUAAAUAAUUACCAUUAAUAUUUAAAUAUUAAUGUACUAUUUAUCCAAAUAUUAAAAGUCAUUAAUUAUAACUUCAAAUAUUUUUAAAUCCUUAAUAUCCUC
rnacentral:lncRNA from 1 species